GCCGCCCCGUCCGGGAGGGAGGUGGGGGGCUCAGCCCCCCGCCCGGCCAGCCGCCCCGUCCGGGAGGUGAGGGGCGCCUCUGCCUGGCCGCCCCUACUGGGAAGUGAGGAGCCCCUCUGCCCGGCCAGCCGCCCCGUCCGGGAGGGAGGUGGGGGGGUCAGCCCCCCGCCAGGCCAGCCACCCCGUCCGGGAGGGAGGUGGGGGGGUCAGCCCCCCGCCUGGCCAGCCACCCGGUCCGGGAGCUGAGGGGCGCCUCUGCCCGGCCGCCCCUACUGGGAAGUGAGGAGCCCCUCUGCCCGGCCA
rnacentral:lncRNA from 1 species